rnacentral:rRNA from 1 species
CGCUGAACUUAAGCAUAUCAAUAAGCGGAGGAAAAGAAACCAACAGGGAUUGCCUUAGUAGCGGCGAGUGAAGCGGCAAAAGCUCAAAUUUGAAAUCUGGCACUUUCAGUGUCCGAGUUGUAAUUUGAAGAAGGUAUCUUUGGGUCUGGCUCUUGUCUAUGUUUCUUGGAACAGAACGUCACAGAGGGUGAGAAUCCCGUGCGAUGAGAUGUCCCAGACCUAUGUAAAGUUCCUUCGAAGAGUCGAGUUGUUUGGGAAUGCAGCUCUAAGUGGGUGGUAAAUUCCAUCUAAAGCUAAAUAUUGGCGAGAGACCGAUAGCGAACAAGUACAGUGAUGGAAAGAUGAAAAGAACUUUGAAAAGAGAGUGAAAAAGUACGUGAAAUUGUUGAAAGGGAAGGGCUUGAGAUCAGACUUGGUAUUUUGUAUGUUACUCUCUCGGGGGUGGCCUCUACAGUUUACCGGGCCAGCAUCAGUUUGAGCGGUAGGAUAAGUGCAAAGAAAUGUGGCACUGCUUCGGUAGUGUGUUAUAGUCUUUGUCGAUACUGCCAGCUUAGACUGAGG